rnacentral:rRNA from 1 species
CACGUAGGGGGCAAGCGUUGUUCGGAAUUACUGGGCGUAAAGGGCGCGUAGGCGGCCCGCUAAGUCGAACGUGAAAUCCCCAGGCUUAACCUGGGAACUGCGUCCGAUACUGGUGGGCUUGAAUCCGGGAGAGGGAUGUGGAAUUCCAGGUGUAGCGGUGAAAUGCGUAGAUAUCUGGAGGAACACCGGUGGCGAAGGCGGCAUCCUGGACCGGUAUUGACGCUGAGGCGCGAAAGCUAGGGGAGCAAACGGG